UACGUAGGGUGCGAGCGUUGUCCGGAAUUAUUGGGCGUAAAGAGCUCGUAGGCGGUUUGUCGCGCUGCUGUGAAAACCUAAGGCUCAACCUUGGGCUUGCAGUGGGUACGGGCAGACUAGAGUGCGGUAGGGGUGACUGGAAUUCCUGGUGUAGCGGUGGAAUGCGCAGAUAUCAGGAGGAACACCGAUGGCGAAGGCAGGUCACUGGGCCGUAACUGACGCUGGAGGAGCGAAAGCGUGGGGAGCGAACAGG
rnacentral:rRNA from 1 species